GACUCACUCAACCUGCGUGUGAUGUCCUUCGAGUCCAUCACAACCUCCUUGAGUGAGCGA
rnacentral:pre_miRNA from 1 species